rnacentral:rRNA from 1 species
UGAUGCAGCAACGCCGCGUGAGGGACGACGGCCUUCGGGUUGUAAACCUCUUUUAGUAGGGAAGAAGCGAAAGUGACGGUACCUGCAGAAAAAGCACCGGCUAACUACGUGCCAGCAGCCGCGGUAAUACGUAGGGUGCGAGCGUUGUCCGGAAUUAUUGGGCGUAAAGAGCUCGUAGGCGGUCUGUCGCGUCUGCUGUGAAAUCCCGAGGCUCAACCUCGGGCCUGCAGUGGGUACGGGCAGACUAGAGUGCGGUAGGGGAGAUUGGAAUUCCUGGUGUAGCGGUGGAAUGCGCAGAUAUCAGGAGGAACACCGAUGGCGAAGGCAGAUCUCUGGGCCGUAACUGACGCUGAGGAGCGAAAGCGUGGGGAGCGAACAGGAUUAGAUACCCUGGUAGUCCACGCCGUAAACGUUGGGCGCUAGAUGUGGGGACCAUUCCACGGUUUCCGUGUCGCAGCUAACGCAUUAAGCGCCCCGCCUGGGGAGUACGGCCGCAAGGCUAAAACUCAAAGGAAUUGACGGGGGCCCGCACAAGCGGCGGAGCAUGCGGAUUAAUUCGAUGCAACGCGAAGAACCUUACCAAGGCUUGACAUAUACGAGAACGGGCUAGAAAUAGUCAACUCUUUGGACACUCGUAAACAGGUGGUGCAUGGUUGUCGUCAGCUCGUGUCGUGAGAUGUUGGGUUAAGUCCCGCAACGAGCGCAACCCUCGUUCUAUGUUGCCAGCGCGUAAUGGCGGGAACUCAUAGGAGACUGCCGGGGUCAACUCGGAGGAAGGUGGGGAUGACGUCAAAUCAUCAUGCCCCUUAUGUCUUGGGCUUCACGCAUGCUACAAUGGCCGGUACAAAGGGCUGCAAUACCGUAAGGUGGAGCGAAUCCCAAAAAGCCGGUCUCAGUUCGGAUUGAGGUCUGCAACUCGACCUCAUGAAGUCGGAGUCGCUAGUAAUCGCAGAUCAGCAACGCUGCGGUGAAUACGUUCCCGGGCCUUGUACACACCGCCCGUCAAGUCAUGAAAGUCGGUAACACCCGAAGCCGGUGGCCUAACCCUUGUGGAAGGA